UACGUAGGGGGCAAGCGUUGUCCGGAAUUAUUGGGCGUAAAGAGCGCGUAGGCGGUCCGGUAAGUCGGUUGUGAAAGUCGGGGGGCUCAACCCUCGGAUGCCGAUCGAUACUGUCGGGCUAGAGUCCGGAAGAGGCGAGUGGAAUUCCUGGUGUAGCGGUGAAAUGCGCAGAUAUCGGGAGGAACACCAAUGGCGAAGGCAGCUCGCUGGGACGGUACUGACGCUGAGACGCGAAAGCGUGGGGAGCGAACAGG
rnacentral:rRNA from 1 species